rnacentral:tRNA from 1 species
UGCGGGCAGGUCUAAUGGUAGGACAACGGACUCUGAAUCCGUUUAUCUUGGUUCGAAUCCAAGUCUCCCAG